rnacentral:misc_RNA from 1 species
UGGUUCUGGCAUCGAUGAAGAACGCAGCGAAAUGCGAUAAGUAAUGUGAAUUGCAGAACUCAGCGAAUCAUCGAAUCUUUGAACGCACAUUGCGCCCGCCGGUAUCCCGGCGGGCAUGCCUGUUCGAGCGUCAUUUCAACCCUCAGGCCCCGCCUGGCGUUGGGCACCCACGGCCGCCGUGGGUCCCUAAAACUAGUGGCGGGCCGCCCCGGGCUCCGAGCGAAGUAGCACAUACCCGCUCGCGGCGCCCCCGGCGACCCCGCCGUGAAACACCCCACUUUAGAAGGUUGACCUCGGAUCAGGUAGGAAUACCCGCUGA